GGGGAAGUACUCUGUGCGGAGGCCACUAUGCUCUCACCCCCAACGCCCGGUGACUCGCUACCAUGAGCAGCACCUUAGCCAAGAUUGCGGAGAUCGAACCCGAGAUGGCUCGGACUCAAAAGAACAAGGCCACAGCACACCACCUAGGGCUGCUUAAGGCUCGCCUUGCUAAGCUUCAUAGAGAGCUCAUUACCCCAAAAGGUGGUGGUGGUGGUGGGCCAGGAGAAGGUUUUGAUGUGACCAAGACAGGUGAUGCUCGAAUUGGGUUUGUGGGUUUUCCAUCAGUGGGGAAGUCAACACUGCUUAGUAACCUGGCAGGGGUAUAUUCUGAGGUGGCAGCCUAUGAGUUCACUACUCUGACCAUUGUGCCUGGUGUCAUCAGAUACAAAGGUGCCAAGAUCAAGCUCCUGGAUCUUCCAGGUAUCAUUGAGGGUGCCAAGGAUGGGAAAGGUAGAGGCCGUCAAGUCAUUGCAGUGGCCCGAACAUGUAACUUGAUCCUGAUUGUUCUAGAUGUCCUGAAACCCUUGGGACACAAAAAGAUAAUUAAAAAUGAGCUGGAAGCCUUUGGCAUUCGCUUGAACAGCAAACCUCCCAACAUUGGCUUUAAGAAGAAGGAUAAAGGAGGCAUUAAUCUCACGGCCACCUGCCCUCAGAGCGAGCUGGAUGCUGAAACUGUGAAGAGCAUUCUGGCUGAAUACAAAAUUCACAAUGCUGAUGUGACACUGCGUAGUGAUGCCACAGCGGAUGACCUCAUUGACGUGGCAGAAGGAAACAGAGUUUGUAUCCCUUGUAUCUGUGUGUUGAAUAAGAUUGAUCAGAUCUCCAUUGAGGAAUUGGAUAUCAUCUAUAAGGUGCCUCACUGUGUACCCACCUCUGCCCAUCACCGCUGGAAUUUCGAUGACCUCUUGGAAAAGAUCUGGGACUAUCUGAAACUAGUGAGGAUUUACACCAAACCCAAAGGCCAGUUGCCAGAUUAUACAUCCCCAGUGGUGCUGCCUUACUCUAGGACUACGGUGGAGGAUUUCUGCAUGAAGAUUCACAAAAAUCUUAUCAAAGAAUUUAAAUAUGCUCUGGUCUGGGGUCUGUCUGUGAAACACAAUCUUCAAAAAGUGGGUAAAGAUCAUACACUGGAGGACGAGGAUGUCAUUCAGAUUGUGAAGAAAUGAAACCUUCCCCUCUACCCAUAUGCUGGGCCAACCAUAGCAGCUUUUCCCAUGACCAAGCACCCUACCCCAAACCCCUUCGAGCUUUGGCAGCCAGUGGACCAGGAUUCAGGGGAGGGAGAUGAAGGCAUCCAAGCUGGAACUUUGUCUUAACUUGGUGUCACCUUGUAAAUUCAACUGCAUAAAGGACCUGGUAGGCCAAAAAAAAAAAA